AAUGUUCGUCAUCACCAAGGAUAGUGAUCCUUGGAUUACAAUUUAAUAUACUAUUAGAGCGAUUACAAGAAACUAAGAAAGCAUAAAGUAUGAGGUUGUCAAAGAAGUUAGAAAGGAGGUUAUAGAAGAUAUAUAGGAUCAAGUUGUUAGAAUCAUUUGUUUCUAAGUAUCUAGGAGAUCUUGUUACUUGUGAGAAAAAGUAGUCUAGAUACAUUGAAUCUGGAAUGCAUUGUGCUUAUAAAUAGCCUAUUUGGUCUUCUCUUAUUCAUAUUAAUAAAUCCUCCUCUUUGAUUUCCACAUGGUAUUAGCGACUCCUAUCAAAUUCUUCUUCUCUAUAACCUAACCCAUCACUACGACCACCACCACCUUUUACUCCAGCUACUCCCACCUCCACCACCACCUCUUUGCCUUGCCACUGCCACCACACCAUCUUCUCUCCUUUGCCAAAGACCCACGUAAAACCCCACAAACCCCUGUCACCCUUGCCAUCACCACUGCCACAGCUCCCAGAUGCUCCAAACAGUCCUCAAAAACUUCUCACCAGCAGCCCUGCAGUCCCUUCAGCCCUCAGCCCGCCUCUGACCUGCAGUCCCAUCAGCCAGCCCCUAGCAGCCCUCAACUCCGCCCCACAGCCCUUCCUCUGCCAUGCAGCCCCACGUAUGACCUGAAUCCAGCCCUCUCCAGCACUCUAGCAGCUCAAACCACAUCAAACAGAUCCCAACAAAUCUCAAGAAACCUAAAACAGAUCUCAAACUGACCUUAAAUGGCCAUAAUACAAUCUCAACACACUUCAAACACAUCCAAAAUACAACUCAACCCACUACAUCCAUCUUUGCUUCCAGAUUUUCAUUCAUAUCGACAUGAGCACUACAUUUGCCUUCGAUCCCAUUGACGACACAGAUUGUCUCUCAUGGGCAUCAUAAUGAUUUGCUAGAUGUGGAUACUGCGACAAGGAAAGUGAUUGGAGCCGGCCGUGAACAACAUGGCUUAUAUCUUUUGGAUAGUCCAUACUCGGCUUCUGCCCUUAGUUCUCGUACAGAUCUUAUAUUGUGGCAUUGACACAUGGGACAUCCUUGCGUGUGAGUCUACUUUUAAGUUCUCGUGUGAGUCGUGAGUUAAGUAAACAUCAUAGAACUUCCUUCCCCGAACGUGUCAAUAAACGUAGUGAAGCUUUCUUCAAUUUAAUCCACUAUUAUGUCCGGGGGGCAGUAAGCUUUCCUUCUUUUAACAAAUAUUGCCACUUUGUUAUAUUUAUUGAUGAUUUUAUUGGAUGA